UAGUAAAAAAACUUCGAGAUCAAAGUUAUUUGAAAUUAAAUUAUCUUCAAAAUAAUAUAUAAUUUGUUGAAUUUUGACGUGAUUUAUAAAAUUUGUACAUAAAUGAGUUUAAAAUAAUUUUUUGGUACAACCAUUAGGAUUUGGUAAGAACUAAGAUUCAUUUUGGUACAUCCAAUGUUAAAAUGCUUGAACUAGCUGUCGUUGAUCGGAGUAAAGAUUGUUUGGAGGAGUUUAUUGCCGAAAGUGACGCGCAUAUAUCUAAGCUUGUAAGUUUUUUCCAUUGCUGGAAGUUCUUGAUUGCACAAAUACAAAAUUUCCUGAAGUCGGAAUUGAAUCUAUUGGCCGUUCGUGUCCAAAUCUGAAAGUUUUCGUUCGCAAUUAUCUUUUGAUUCAAUCGCAAUAUGAAUUCAAUAAUUCUCUAGCACUUGCCCUGGCGAAAACUAUGCGUGGUUUGCAUAAAUUGAAAAUUGGCGAAGAAGUAACGCUCGACGAUGAUGGUUUGCUUGCCAUUCUUGACGCUUGCUCUCAUCUUGAAUUAUUAAUUGUUCGUAAUUGCCUCCUCCUUAAAUUCGGAAAAAAACUGAAACAAAAUUAAAUUGAAAUAUUAUAGAAGUUCAUGAUUGAAUCAUUUGAUAGCUUUGAUCUCAUUUAAUUAGGUAUUAUUGAAAAUAUUACCUUCAUCCUUAUAUAACCCUAACCUUUCUUCACCAUACUAUCUUUGCAACUUGAAUCUGAUUCUACCUUGUCGUCCAAUUGAUGACGCAUUGAUAAAGUCCGUCAUACAAUAUCCUUUUUUUUGUAGUGCGAUGAUUCAAUCUCAUAUCAUAUCGAGGAUUCUAUAUCUCUGUUUCAGCUUUUUUCCGAAUUUAAGGUGGAGGUAAUUACGAACAAUUAGUAAUUCAAGAUGGGAGCACCAUCAAGAAUGGCAAGCAAACCAUCAUCGUCGAGCACUUCUUCACCAAUUUUCAAUUUAUGCAAACCACGCAUAUUUUUUCGCCAGGACAAGUGCUAGAAAAUUAUUGAAUUCAUAUUACGAGUGAAUCAAAAGAUAAUUACGGAAGCAGAAAACUUUCGAAUUUGGACAUGAACGGCCAAUAGAUUCAAUUCCGACUUCAGUAAAUUUGGUAUUCGAGCAAUCAAAAACUUUCAGGAAUGGAAAAUACUUAAAAGCUUCGAUUAAAAUGCACUCUUGGGCUUCGAUUAAAAUUGCAUCCAAGAUCAAUAACCGAUUCGAGGAUUUAUAUAUCGAUCGAAGAACAAACAGAUUUAAAUAGAGCGGAAUUCAUCAAAUGGGUUAGUUAACACCACAAAAAUAAUUAGCAAAGUUACGAAUUUAAAAUAAAGCGAAGAACUUAAAUAGAAAAUUUGAUAUAUUUAGAUUUUAUAAAGAAAAUAUCAAAUUAGGUUGGAUUUAAAAAAAAGAUUAGUUAAAAUAUCUAAAAUAAUAAACGAUACCGAUAUAAUUAGCAAAAAACUUCAUCAGUUGUUCGAAAUUAAACUAUUUUCAAAAUAAGUUGAAUUUUGAUGUGAUUUUUAAAAUUAAUCCCUGGAUGGAAUGUUAACUGUCGUAAACUACUACUAAAUUUAUUUCACAUAAAAUAUACACACGUGAUGGUGAGUAUCGUAAAUUAAUAACCAAUUCAAUAUAAGAUGAACACGCUCAUAAGUUUAGGUAUCAAUAUCCAAAAAAACAUGCAUGUUUUGUAAUUCAUCUAAAUAAUAAUCUCUACCCUAGAUACCGUUUAACCAAACAAACAAAACAAAAACUCAAUGCACUUCGUCCCUGGAUCGUCGUGCAUCUUUUCAUUGAUUCCAUCCUAUCACACAAUGAACACAAAAUGGGUGAGUCAAUUAUUUCAUCGACUUAGUAUGGGUUCCCUGAUGUCAGACACAUCAUAUAUAAAGAAUCAAAAUCAAUGAAAAUCACAUUAAUUUACACUAUUUAUAUCACAAUCACAGAAUAAUCGUAAUUCACUUUCAAACACUAUUAUCCAUGCAUUCUCACUGGAGUACCACUUCAGUCACUAUUCACAAAAUUUCACUCACUAGUUCACAUGCAGUAAUCACUCACAUAUCAUUCACUCAUUAAUCACAAAAAAAAUGGAUAUAUACAACCCCAACCAAAAAAACUAAGUUGGAACUUACCAACAGAAAUAAAAUAAAAAGGAGUUGAAACCAUUCUCUCAAGAAUUCAUACCAACACAAUUACUCUCAAGACUGAUUAAAUAAAAUUCUGACAAUAGAUAAAAUAAAUCACAGUACGUGUUGAUAAAACAACAAAUCUAAACCGGGAUAAAAUUAAAACUCGAUCGGAAUAUUUGAAAAAUCUGAAACGAAUCAUCAAUCAAUCAGAAAAUAAAUAAAAUAUCUUCGUGUCAAAAUGAACUCAAUGGUUCUAUACCGAUCAUAACAACCUGCUGAAAUAGAAAUCCAGUCAUAAAGCUAAGAAAAAGAAAAUCCAAUUAUGCAUCAACACCAUCAACCCAUCAAAAAACCUGGAAAUCUAGAACUAACAUGAUCAAAGCUGGAAUUAAAUAAAAUAUCUAUAUUUUGAAAUGGACUCAAAUGACUCUAUUACGAUAUAUCAUGACAACCAUAGAAAAACUCGGUCAUGACAGUAAAACAAAACAAACAAACAAAAAACCCAAUCAUCCAUAGUGGAAACCCCAACCCAACCAUCGAAAUCAAACCAUGAAGUGAUAAAAAGAAAUCAGGUUUUUGGAUAACAUUGGAAAUCUCAACAAAAUGAUACGAUCACAUUGGACUACGACGACGCCACCGAUGACAUCGCUGUUGUGCGAAACUCGGAGGAAGACCUAGCCGGACAGAUUGGGGAAGAAGACUUUGGCUCGAGGUCGUUUGAAGACACUGAACCGGGUUCAUCCUACCAAAAGCCGAGCCGAACCAAGAAGACGCCGGCGCGCUUCAAGGACUACGUGAUGGACUCAAUGGGAUGUAGCUAAAUCAGAAUUUGAAGACCUAUUUAAUUUUAAAAUUUUGCAAAAGACUCCUUAAAUAUUAGAGUAUUUUCAAUUCAAUUAAAGUAUAAAUAUGAUACAAUAACAGAAUUAUUAAAAAAAAUUACAAUCAUUUGCUCCUCGAAAUUCCAACCCUAAUUUCAUCCGACUGCCGUCGAGUACACCUGCGCCGUCGCCGCCGUCACAGCAAUCUCGCCGCCCGUCUCCGAUCGAUCUUCAGUCCAGCCUUAUCAGUCCACCCAAGCACCGCCUCACACGAUCGUCGGAUGACCCCUCGUCGGAGUUCCGUCUCCAUUUGUAUCCCAACCUCGCCGUAGUGUGGAAGUUCUUCACUCCACUUCCGUUUCCUUUUUCCUCCCCCCUCUUUUUCCCUUUCUUCUGUUAAAUCUCCUACUCGCUUGGCUGCUACCGGAUUCAAUUGCUCAGUUGAAGGUAGAAAUUGGGUAGAAGUGGAGCAGCGCAGGAUUGGGGCGGAUUCUAGGGUUAUGCGACUUAACUGUCACCUAGAAGCCGUUGGAGGGAGAUUAGAGUAUUUUCAAUUACAAUUUGAAUGUAAUUAACUUAAUUAAUCAAGUCACAAUGAUUUCCUUUUAAACUAAUUACAGCCCUAACUAACUUAACUAUUUGUUAUUACAAAUAUUAGCUAAGUUAAUUGGUCUUUUAAAACUAAUUGCAACCCUAACUAACUUAGCUAAUUAACUAUUUGUUAUUACAAAUAUUUGCUAAGCUAAUUGGUCUUUGGCCCAACUGUUGUAGCCCAUGCGUGAAUUAGUCCAUUAAGUUUAAUUGGAAACUUUGCAACUUGGACCUUAAGUUUCUUGUUUAUUACCGUGUGGGACUUCAUGAAACUUUUGCACUUUCGCCUUAAGUUUCUUCAGUAUCUCACACACUCGUUUGGGUUAUUUCCUAUACAAUGAUGUUCCAUCUGAAAUGUCAAUUAGGUCCUGCAAACAGAGAUUGUGUUUAUACAAGUUAAUUGCUCUUAGUUAACUUGUAUUUCCUUUACUCCCCCCUCAAGCCUUGGAAUAUAUAUUUAAAAUUCCAAGCUUGGAAUGGAAAGUUGUUAUUUCUUUAUCACCAAGUGCUUUUGUUAGAAAAUCAGCAAGUUGGAACUUAGUUCCAAUUUGUUUUAAUGAGAUUUUCUUUUGAUUUAUCAUUUCUCUUAUGAAAUGACAAUCUAUUUCUAUGUGUUUUGUCCUCUCAUGGAAUACUGGAUUAUUCGCUAAAUGUAUAGCUGAUUUGUUAUCACAGUAAAGAUCUGUGGGUAUUGGUAUUUUGAUUUUUAGUUCAUUCAUCAAUUGGUGAAUCCAUACAAUUUCACAAGUCACUUGAGCUAUAGCUCUAUAUUCUGCCUCACAUGAUGAUCUGGCUAUUGUGUUCUGUUUUUUUGUUUUCCAAGAGAUUAAUGAAUCUCCUAGCAUGAUACAGAAUCCUGUCAAGGAUUUUCUGCUAAUUUGGCAUGCUGCCCAAUCCGCAUCACAAUACCCUCUAAUCACCAUGUUUGCAUUUCUACUGUAUAAUAAUCCUUGUCCUAGAGCAUUUUUGAUAUAUCUUAUUAGUUUAAACAGGACUUCUAGAUGAACCUCUCUUGGCUCAUGCAUAAAUUGACUCAGCCAGUUUACUGAGAAACUUAUAUCUGGCCUUGUUAUGUUGAGGUAUAUUAAUUUUCCAACCAUCUUCCUAUAGAAGGUUGGGUUUUUAAUUAACAUAGAUUUAUCAUUUUUUAAAUCUAUGUGUCUUUCCAUUGGAAUUUUGGAAGGUUUUGCACCAGAAAGACCAGAUUCUUCUAAAAUUCCUAAUGCAUAUUUCCUCUGGGAUAAAUAUAUUCCUUGAGGUGAAUAGGAUACCUCAAUCCCUAGGAAGUAACUUAACCUUCCUAGAUCUUUUAAUUUGAACUGAUUUUCCAAUUGGACUUUUAUUAUCCCAAUUUCUAAUUCAUUGCUGCCUGUUAGGAUGAUAUCAUCCACAUAUACAAUGAGGUAUAGGAUGUUUUGAUUUCUUUCUCUUAUGAAUAAAGAAUAAUCAGAUUUUGUUUGAAGAAAACCAAUGUCUAAAAGAACUCCUCUUAGUUUCUCAAACCAGCUUCUUGAAGCUUGUUUGAGAUCAUAUAGAGAUUUAUUUAGUUUACAUACUCUUUUAUCUUUUUCUUCAAGCAUACCUUGUGGAGGUUUUAAAUAUACCUCUUCAUGUAAAUCACCAUGCAAAAAUGCAUUGUUUACAUCUAAUUGGUGUAGAUUCCAUCUUUUGAUGGCAGCUACUGCUAUUAUAGUUUUUAUAGUGACCAUCUUUACUACUGGUGCAAAGGUUUCAAAAAAAUCAAAACCCUCUUUCUGUGUGAAACCUUUAGCUACUAACCUUGCUUUAUACCUUUCUAUUUGGCCAUCUGGUUUAUAUUUAAUUUUAUAGAUCCAUUUUGAUCCAAUAGAUUUUCUGUUUUGUGGAAGAUUAGUAAGAGUCCAUGUAUUGUUCUCUUGUAAAGCCUUCAUUUCAUUUUGCAUAGCUUCAAUCCAUUUUGGAUCUUUUGAAGCUUCAUUGUAUGAAUUUGGUUCAUCAUUAAUUGUUAUUUGUUUUAAAUAUUGUUUGUGAUGUUUAUUUAUCCUAUUAUAUGAGACAUGAUUGCUCAUAGGAUAUUUUGAUUUAUCACAUUUCUUCUUGUUUUGUAGAACAAAUUCUUGGAAAUGUUUUGGUUUUACAAUUUUCCUUCCAUACAAACUUGUUUUUUUAUUUGUUGUUUUUAAGUUUUUAUUUUCAGAGUUUAUUGUACUCUGGUCUUGUUCUGAAUUUUUUUUAAAAUUGCUAUCUGAACUGGUCAGAAUGAUUUGUCCAAAGUUGUUCUCUAGCUCUGGGUUUUGAUGUUUUUCUUCUGAGAUUUGCCUUAAGUCAUUUUCUAUAUGAUUUUGUUGGCUAUUUAGCCUAUUUUGUCCAGAGCUAAUUUGUUCCUUUUCUGUAUUUUGAAUUAGAUUCUCUGGCCUUCUUAAAUCCUGUUGAUUUGUUUGCUCUGGGAUAUUCUCUGAAUAAUCUUGCUGAUUAUUCAGAGUGUUUUGUUCAAGGGCUUCUCCUUGUUCUGAAUUUUUACUUCUAUUCUUAGCAGAAUAAUUUUCAGAAAAUUUUCUUGUUACCCCAGGGCAUAGUUCUGAAAGACUUUGUUUAUUGUUUUGAGUUUUAUAUCCAGAGUUUUCUUUUUGCUCUGGGUUUUGUAUUUCUAAUACAUUUUCAUUUGUUCCUGUUUUUUUUUUAAAAACUUCUUCAGUUUGAAUAAUUUUAUUUGGGGUAUUUUUUCCAACAGAGUUAUAUAUGUUCUCUUCAUUAAACUGAUCAUAUUCAUAUGUGUCCAAUGAAUUACUAUUUCUUUUUUCUUGUUCACUGUUAUUUUCACAAUUGGAUGAUCUUCCAAUCUGUGAUGUUUUAUUAUUACCAAAUUCUGUAUUUUCAGAAUAUGGUUUUAUUGUUUCAUUGUGGCCAUCAUGUAUAAUUUGACUAUAAAAGUUUUGUAAUGGUCUUUUGUCUAUAUUUUGAAUAUUUUUAGGUAUAUCUUUAAAUGGAAAGAUGUUUUCCCUAAAGACAACAUUUCUUGAAAUGUGAAAUUUCAUUUUUUCUAUUUCUAAGACUAAAAAACCUUUUUUAUUUGAUGGGUAUCCCAUAAAAAUACCUUUGAAGGUCCUUGGUGAGAACUUAUGUUCUCUAAUGUUUGUGGUUGCAAAGCAUAGACAGCCAAAGGUUUUAAAAUUUUCAUAGUUUGGAGUUUUUUUAUGUAGAACUUCAAAGGGUGUUUUGUUUUUUAAUACCUUUGAAGGUAUCCUGUUUAUUAUAUGUGCUGCAGUUAGUAUACAUUCUCCCCAAUAUUCUAUUGGGGCUGCACUUUGAAAAUGUAAUGCCCUUGCCACCUCUAAUAAAUGCCUAUGUUUUCUUUCAACUAUGGCAUUUUGUUGAGGUGUAUAUGGGCAUGAAUAUUGGUGAAUUAUCCCAUAAUUUUCAAGUAAUGACUUGAAUUUAUUUGAGUUAAAUUCCCCUCCAUUAUCACUUCUUAUUAUUUUUAUAUUUUUGUCAAAAAUAUUUUUGAUUUUUAAUAUGAAAUUUCUAACAUAUUCUAAAACCAUGCUUUUGUUUUUGAUCAAGAAAAUCCAAGUUGUUCUACUUAGAUCUUCAACAAUGGUUAGAAAUGAGGAAUAUCCAUCAUGUGUGUUUGUUUGGAAUUUCCUCCAAACAUCCAUAUGAAUUAGAUCAAAUAGAUCCUUUGAUUUUGAUAAACUAUUUUUAUAUUUUAGUUUAUUUUGUUUUGCAAGUGGGCAGAUAUUGCAAUUUUCUUUUAUCAAAUCAAAAUUUUUAUUUAUUGCUGAAAAACUUCUAUUUUGAGGAACAAUAUCAUGUUUGUCUAUUUUAUUACAAUCAAAACUAUUUAUGGAUUUACAAAAAAUAGAUUUGCAUUUUAUUCUAUUGGCUUCAACAAGAAUUUUCAUCUUUUCUGAUGAAGGGUGUCCAAGCCUCUUGUGCCAAAUUUCGAAAUCCAUGGCUGUAUAAGCAUAUUAAGAGGAUUGAGACUCUAAAAAAUAAAGUCCUUUUUUGCACCUACCCUGCCCAAUUACUCUCUCGGAUUUUUUUUCCUGAAAAUGGCAUUUGAAUUUGUCAAAAAUGACCUUUAAAUUUGAAUCAUGAGUUAAUUUAUUUACUGAUAUUAAAUUAACCUUGAAUUGAGGUAUAUAUAAGACAUUCUUAAGUAUAAUGUCUUUGGAUAUUGUUAUAUCUCCAAUAGAAGUUACUUUGCAUACCUCCCCACUUGGAAUGGUGACAAAGUGCUCAUAAUCUUCUAUUGGGUUUUUAUCAAAAUUUUGGAAACUCCCAGUCAUGUGUUGGGAGGCUCCAGUGUCUAUGAUCCAAGAUUUUUCAUAAUUUGAAAUAUUAAAAGAAAAAUCCAUACCUGAGGAUUUGUUCAAAAAAUCCUUUAUCAUUAGAAGCUCUUCACUGGUCAGUCCUUGAUUCACAGAUGAAGUUGUGGCCUGAUUUGCAUUUUCAGUAGAAUUCUUCUUUUCUUUUCUGUUUUUCUUUUUGUCAUUUGGAAAACCUAUUAGGUGGUAGCACUCCUCUCUAGUGUGACCAAAGAACUUGCAGUUGUCACAGUAAAACCUACUGCCCAACUUCUUUCCAUUUUUUCCAUACAUUUUUUUCUUUGGUUCCUCUUUUUUAUCUUCUUUUUCAGAUUUUUUAGCAAAAAGAGCAGUUGAGUUUCCACCAAAUGAUUCCCUAGAGUUGUUUUUGUGCUUCUCUUCUUGUGUUACUAAACAAAAAACCUGAUUCAUAGAAGGAAGCUCGGGGUAUGCAAGUAUUUGACUCCUUAGAGUCCUAAAAUCAUCAUUUAAACUUAAUAAGAAAUGAUAAAUUUUUUCUUUCUCCAAUUUCUUGUUAUAAAUUGGAGUACAGUUUGUACAAAAAUUACAAUCUGGCUUCUCUAUUUCUAUGAACUGAUCCCAUAAAGAAUUAAAUUUGUCAAAGAAAAUAGCAACAGAAUCAUUAGAUUGGGUUAGGGUGUUUAUCUCAUACCUCAAUUGAUUUGUUUUGGGGGCAUUUUUCUGCUUGUAUCUCUCUUGAAGAUCUGGCCAUGCUUCAUAAGCAUUCUCUGUAUGUAUGAGAGUUGAUCCUAUCUGAGGACUUACACUAUUAAUGAUCCAGGAUAGUACCAGUCCAUUGACCAUCUCCCAGUCUUCAUAAUCCUCCCCUGUUUCACAUACCGGCCUCUUAAUUUUUCCAUUGAUAAAACUAGUUUUUUUUCUGGAAACCAAUGCCAAUUUCAUUGAGUUUGCCCAGGCUACGUAGUUCUCUUCCCCAGUGAGUUUAUCUGCCACCAUAUGGGCACCUGGGUGAUCUCCAGAGGUGAGAUAGUAAGGUGAUUUUCUUGAGUACUUCUUACUGUCUUCAUCCUUUCGUUUGGAAAUCGAUUUUUUAUCCUUUGAUUUUUUAAAAGACCUGGAAUCAUGUUUAGAACUGUUAUCAGAAGAUACAUUGUUACCUUGUUUGGUCGAACUCCCUUGACUGGAAUCUUCAUCAGUCAGAUGUCCUUUAUUUGAAGAAGUUGGUGGGUUCUUUGCGUCGUCGCUGAAAUGUGAUACCAUGUUAAAUCUCCUACUCGCUUGGCUGCUACCGGAUUCAAUUGCUCAGGUGAAGGUAGAAAUUGAGUAGAAGUGGAGCAGCGCAAGAUUGGGGUGGAUUCUAGGGUUAUGCGACUUAACUGUCGCCUAGAAGCCGUUGGAGGGAGAUUAGAAUAGUAGUUUCAAUUAAUCACAAUUUGAAUGUAAUUAACUUAAUUAAUUCCAGUCACAAUGGUUUCCUUUUAAACUAAUUACAACCCUAACUAACUUAACUAAUUAACUAUUUGUUAUUACAAAUAUUAGCUAAGUUAAUUGGUCUUUUAAAAACUAAUUACAACCCUAACUAACUUAGCUAAUUAACUAUUUGUUAUUACAAAUAUUUGCUAAGCUAAUUGGUCUUUGGCCCAACUGUUNNNNNNNNNNNNNNNNNNNNNNNNNNNNNNNNNNNNNNNNNNNNNNNNNNNNNNNNNNNNNNNNNNNNNNNNNNNNNNNNNNNNNNNNNNNNNNNNNNNNUAAAAGCUUCGAUUAAAAUGCACUCUUGGGCUUCGAUUAAAAUUGCAUCCAAGAUCAAUAACCGAUUCGAGGAUUUAUAUAUCGAUCGAAGAACAAACAGAUUUAAAUAGAGCGGAAUUCAUCAAAUGGGUUAGUUAACACCACAAAAAUAAUUAGCAAAGUUACGAAUUUAAAAUAAAGCGAAGAACUUAAAUAGAAAAUUUGAUAUAUUUAGAUUUUAUAAAGAAAAUAUCAAAUUAGGUUGGAUUUAAAAAAAAGAUUAGUUAAAAUAUCUAAAAUAAUAAACGAUACCGAUAUAAUUAGCAAAAAACUUCAUCAGUUGUUCGAAAUUAAACUAUUUUCAAAAUAAGUUGAAUUUUGAUGUGAUUUUUAAAAUUAAUCCCUGGAUGGAAUGUUAACUGUCGUAAACUACUACUAAAUUUAUUUCACAUAAAAUAUACACACGUGAUGGUGAGUAUCGUAAAUUAAUAACCAAUUCAAUAUAAGAUGAACACGCUCAUAAGUUUAGGUAUCAAUAUCCAAAAAAACAUGCAUGUUUUUGUAAUCCAUCUAAACAAUAAUCUCUACCCUAGAUACCGCUUAUCCAAACAAACAAAACAAUCAAAACAAAAACUCAAUGCACUUCGUCCCUGGACCGUCGUGCAUCUUUUCAUUGAUUCCAUCCUAUCACACAAUGAACACAAAAUGGGUGAGUCAAUUAUUUCAUCGACUUAGUAUGGGUUCCCUGAUGUCAGACACAUCACAUAUAAAGAAUCAAAAUCAAUGAAAUUAAUGAAAAUUACAUUAAUUUACACUAUUUAUAUCACAAUCACGCAAUAAUCGUAAUUCACUUUCAAACACUAUUAUCCAUGCAUUCUCAAUCGAGUACCACUUCACUCACAUAUCAUUCACUCAUCAAUCACAUGACCACAAAAAAAAUGGAUAUAUACAACCCCAACUAAAAAAACUAAGUUGGAACUUACCAACAGAAAGAAAAUAAAAAGGAGUUGAAACCAUUCUCUCAAGAAUUCAUACAAACACAAUUACUCUCAAGACUGAUUAAAUAAAAUCUGAAAAUAGAUCAAAUAAAUCACAGUACGUGUUAUAAAACAACAAAUCUAAACCGGGAUAAAAUUAAAACUCGAUCGGAAUAUUAUUUGAAAAAUCUGAAACGAAUCAUCAAUCAAUAAGAAAAUAAAUAAAAUAUCUUCGUGUCAAAAUGAACUCAAUGAUUCUAUACCGAUCAUAACAACCUGCUGAAAUAGAAAUCCAGUCAUAAAGCUAAGAAAAAGAAAAUCCAAUUAUGCAUCAACACCAUCAACCCAUCAAAGAAUCUGGAAAUCUAGAACGAUCAAAGCUGAAAUUAAAUAAAAUAUCUAUAUUUUGAAAUGGACUCAAAUGACUCUAUUAUGAUAUAUCAUGACAACCAUAGAAAAACUCAGUCAUGACAGUAAAACAAAAGAAACAAAAAACCCAAUCAUCCAUAGUGGAAAUCCCCACCCAACCAUCGAAAUCAAACCAUGAGAUGACAAAAAAGAAAUCAGGUUUUGGAUAACAUCGGAAAUCUCAACAAAAUGAUACGAUCACAUUGGACUACGACAACGCCACCGAUGACAUCGCUGUUGUGCGGAACUCGGAGGAAGACCUAGCCGGACAGAUUGGGGAAGAAGACGUUGGCUCGAGGUCGUUUGAAGACACUGAACCGGAUUCAUCCUACCACAAGCCGAGCCGAACCAAGAAGACGCCGGCGCGCUUCAAGGACUACGUGAUGGACUCAAUGGGAUGUGGCUAAAUCAGAAUUUGAAGACCUAUUUAAUUUUAAAAUUUUGCAAAAGACUCCUUAAGUAUUAGAGUAUUUUCAAUUCAAUUAAAGUAUAAAUGUGAUACAAUAACAGAAUUAUUAAGAAAUUUUACAAUCAUUUGCUCCUCGAAAUUCCAACCCUAAUUUCAUCUGACUGCCGUCGAGUACACCUGCGCCGUCGCCGCCGUCACAGCCAUCUCGCCGCCCGUCUCCGAUCGAUCUUCAGUCCAGUCUUAUCGAGCCCCCAACUGGUUUGCUUAACCGCAUUGACCACCUUGGGCUAAGUCUUGAUUUCAGGGAUAUAUUCCCGUUACUUGAGUCUUGGAUAUCCUUGAUCUUUGGAUCUUGGAUCUAAGACAGGAAUCUACUCCAGGUCUAUCUAAUCUUAAUCUCGAUUCUCUUAGAAUCGUAUCACAAAACCAAAGAGAUUAAAUCAGUCCAGCACAUUCCAAAAAAACAAGUGUCAUACUAUGAAAAUCAUACCCAAACAAUCGACAUCACACACAACAAAAUUAUUUAUAACUGACCAUCGCCAUCAUCUUCUUAACUCCAUACUAAAUCACGAAAUUUCUAACAGUACUUAACCCAAGCCAGCAUUGCAGGUGCUAAAUCACUCCCUCACACUCCAAAGACACUUGAAUUUAUCACUUAAACUAAAUGAAAUAUCAGAGAUUUACUUAGCUGAUUCUGUUCUACCAGUUUUACAAAUACACCCAUACCUUCCCUUGCCUUUGAGACCUCUCUAUACACAAGCCACACCAAGAUUUCCACCCACCCAAGCACCGCCUCACACGAUCGUCGGAUGACCCCUCGUCGGAGUUCCGUCUCCGUUUGUAUCCCAACCUCGCCGUAGUGUGGAAGUUCUUCACUCCACUUCCGUUUCCUUUUUCCUCCCCCCUCUUUUUCCCUUUCUUCAACCCUUAUAUCCUAGGGUUUAUCUAUUUCUAUUACCACAUUACUAAACUACCCUUAGUUAAAUUGGCCAAACCCAAUGUAAUUGGCCAACUAAGGUAUUCUAAAAUUUAUUUAUUUUUUUGAGUUAUUACAUUCUCCCCUCCUUAAUGAAAUUUCGUCUCGAAAUUUCUCAUCAUAUACCUAUAUGACUAUAUCUAUUAUCAUUUUUUUCCUUCCCUCUCCCCUCCUUCAUGAAAUUUCGAAAUGAGUUUAGAUCGAUUUUCGAAAGAAUACGGUGAAGGGUUAACAACUUUCACUAAUUUCGCCACUUCGAAUUCGACUCACCCAGAAGGUUAUUUACCUUGUCCAUGCUCGUCCUGCACGAAUAGUAAUUAAAGUAAUUCCUAUAAAAGAGAUGAGGAAGCAUGUUUUCAUAAAUGGUAAGUUGAAACAUUACGAUGUUUGAACGAAUCACGGAGAGUUACCGAGUAGAAAUGGUGAGAGAAAAGAGACAGUGCCGGAAACUGAUAACGAUAUAAUUGGAUUGGUUCGUGCGGUUUACGGAGAACAUGUAGUUGAAAAUACAGUCGACGAAAAAUUUCUCGAAAUAGAACCUCUAGAAUACGAGCCUGUUCAUGAAAAUCAGUCGAUGUAGAUCCAGUCGAUGAAGAUCAAGUCGACGAAGAUCCAGAGCACAGAUAUGACGAUUCGUUCUUACGCCGUCUAAAAGAAGGUGAAGAACAGUUAUAUCCAGGUUGCACAGAGUUUUCCAAACUAUCUUUUAUCUUGGAAUUGUAUCAGUAGAAAUGCGACAAUCAUUGGAGUGAUAAAAGUUUUCAGAAAUUAUUAUCCAUCAUGCGUCGUGCUAUUCCAAAUGGGGAAUCGACCAUUCUGAAAACCAUGUACCAUGCGAAAUCGGUGGUUCGUGACCUGGGCCUCAAUUAUACGAAAAUCGAUGCAUAUAUGUCACAACGAUUGUAUUUUAUAUCGAAAUGAGUAUGCAGACGCAGAAACUUGCCCGAAUUGCGGAACGUGUAGGUGGGUCGUCGAAGGCGUUCAGAAAAACAAACGUGUCCCAACGAAAUGCCUUCGUCACUUUCCGUUGAUUCCACGUUUGAAGAGAUUGUAUCUGUGUUCCAAAAUUUCUGAAGAUAUGAUAUGACACCAUUCCAAACGUAAAGACGACGGAUUUCUUCAGCAUCCAGCUGAUUCUUUACAAUGGAAGAAAUUUGACGAAGUUCAUCCCAAAUUUGUAUCCGAACCUCGUAAUGUGAGACUUGGUUUAGCAACAGAUGGAUUCAACCCGUUCAGUCAGCAAUCUCUAUCUCAUAGUACUUGGCCAGUGAUAGUUAUACCGUACAACCUUCCACCUUGGAUGUAUAUGAAGCAACCGAAUUUCAUGUUGUCACUACUAAUUUCCGGUCUGUCAGCUCCAGGGAACGAUAUAGAUGUCUGUCUUCAACCUCUUAUUGAUGAACUGAAGAUUUUAUGGGCAGAUGGUGUUACAGCUUUUGAUGUACAUACACCGAAAUCUUUUAAGAUGUUUGCAUCACUUCUGUGGACGAUACAUGAUUAUCCAGGAUACGGUGAUAUAUCAGGGUGAAGCACUAAAGGAAAGUUAGCCUAUGCAGUAUGUAAGAAUGACACUGAAAGUAUUCGUUUAGAGCAUGGAAAGAAAGAGAAUUUUAUGGGACAUCGUCGAUUUCUAGAUAUGAAACAUUAUAGGAGCGAUAAGAAAAGUUUCAAUAAUCAGAUCGAAACUAGAGUCGCCCCUAAACGUCUAACGGGUUCUGAAAUAUAUAGUCAAGUUUAUCCAUUUCGAGAUUCAGUAACUUUUGGUAAAACAUCGAAUGUACCAAAAGAUUGUAGACCGUCAACGAAAAGAACGAAGAAAAUACCAUUGCCCAUAGGGUGAAAAAAAAUGAGUAUUUUUUCGAAUUACUGUAUUGGAAGACGUUGCUUCUACGAAAUAAUAUUGAUGUUAUGCACACCGAAAAGAAUGUAUGUGACAAUAUUUUGAACACUAUUUUGGAAAUGGAUGGUAAAACGAAAGAUAAUUUGAACGCGAGGUUCGAUUUACAAUCGAUGGGAAUCCGAAAAGAACUUCAUCCUAUUCGACGGGGAGAAGAAUGGGACAUUCCGAGUGCGUGUUUCAACUUAACGACGACAGAAAAGAUAUUAUUUCUGUCAGUGUUUAAAUCCCUUCGACUUUCUGAUGGAUAUUGUUCUAACAUUUUUAGAAACGUGAAAAUGAAAGAAAGAAAAUUUAUCGGAUUGAAAAGUCACGAUUGUCACGUUAUAAUACAACAGUUACUUCCUAUUGCAUUACGAAAAUCGACAAAACCUGUAGUGACUUCGGUUCUCGUUGAACUUUGCGGAUAUUUCCACGAUAUUUGUUCGAAGGUGAUCGAAAUCAAACUUAUGAAACGAUGGGAGAAAAGAAUUAUAUAUACAUUAUGCAAUCUUGAGAAAAUCUUUCCUCCCGGUUUUUUUACUGUAAUGGUUCAUCUGACGGUCCAUCUAACAACCGAAGUAAAAAUAGCUGGACCGGUACAAUAUCGAUGGAUGUAUCCGAUAGAGAGGUAUAUAUAUUUAUACAAUUAUAAAUACAUUUAUAAUUAAUAUGUCUUGAUCAUACAAUAUAUAUUCUUAUUUUAGGUAUCUUUUGACUUUAAAAAAUCAUGUGACCGUACGUAGUCACCCGGAAGGACCUAUUGCGGAAAGUUAUCUUGCUGAAGAAUCAAUAACGUUUUGUUCUCGAUCGGUUUUUACAAAAUGUCGAGACAAAAUCAAAUCGGCCAGAUAGGUAUAUCGAUGAGUUUUUAAAUGCACCGAACCAAGCGACGGAUGAAAUGGCGAAGAAAUUAACCACAAGAAUGGCUCUUUUAGCAAAAGACCAUACUCUCUUCCCGUACGACAUUGAGUGGCGUCAUCAACCACAACAAAAUUUUCAGGACGCGUUAAAAAUAUUAACUGUAAGUAUAUAUAUUUUUUACAAUAUUUAUUAAUUUUCCAAAACUUAUAAGUUUUGAAUAUUGAUGAAGCACUGAAUCUGCUACCAAGGCUCGCGAUGGUGCGAGGUGAUGCCGGAGGCUCUGGAGUCCACGACGCGCGCUCUACGUCAAAUACCUGCAAGUAGAAACUUGGCGAGUUUCUUAGUGAGAAUCGGCGAGUUUCUUAGUGAUGCUCUGGUGAGAGUGGAACUUGUGUUGUGCCUUUGAGUGUCCCCUUGGGACCCUUUUUAUAGGGUCUCAGAGGGCGUGAUCAAAGGCGAACAUCGCGCCUAUGGCCAUAUAUGGAAACAUUUAUGACGUUGGCUGGUGGCGAGUAACGGUCGUAAGUCGGCGAUUCAGGUAUGGAAAUCGCCUAUUUAGGGCAAAUUCGUCGAGUUUCCUGGGACGAGAUGUGCAAUCUACCAUACUGCCGAUCUGGGCCCUAACUCGACGAUUUGUCUCUAAAGUCGGCGACUUGGUAGUCCAAUCGCGACUUACGGGUUAACUCGGCGAUUUGGACGAUGAACUUGUUCCGCACCGUGGGAGCUCUCCGGGGGUCCGGCGUAAAGAGACGAAACCCUAGUCCUUAUUGAAAGGCGUUGCUGGGAGUGACUGUCGUAAUCAGACAUGUCUCACCAGGUGCCAAAUAUGACCUUUUUCUCCUCUGGUACAUCCAGCAUUUCAAAGCUGGUUUCAACUGUAUCUACCCAAUUAUCCACUUCAUCGAGUGAUUCAGUCCCCAUGAAUAUCGGAGGGUUGGUUUUGUUGAAUUCCGCAAACGUCACAACUUUCGUCGGUGGUGUUGCAUGCCAUCCGCCUACCAUCUGUCCAAAGUAACAACCAUAUUAUUAGAAUUUAAAUAUUCCUUAUAUAAUCGAUCCUAUCAUCUAAAAAUUACAACAAAAGAAUUGAUUCGGUUAUUAAACGGACCGAACGCAGACCCAAGCUAGAGUAGGCUCGUUUAUUUAAAUAAACCGAACCAAAUACUUAGGUAUUCAGUUCGGUAGGCUCGAGUUAUAACGCUACUCUUAGGUAAGCCUAAAACGCAUAUGAAAUCAUGACUGUCCAUUCAUUUCUUCUGAAUUUUCCCCCCUCCAUGUGUGUACUAUUUUUUUUAAAUGUGAUUCUAAGAUUUCAUGUGCGUUUUUGAACUCAUUAAAGAUAUGCUUAAAGUUUCUUCUAUAUAUUUAUGAAAAGGUUGUUUAAAAAAUUUAAAAUAAUAAAUGAUAACUAUAUAAAUUAGUAAAAAACUUCGAAAGCAAAGUUAUUUGAAAUUAAAUUAUCUUCAAAAUAAUAUAUAAUUCGUCGAAUUUUGACGUGAUUUAUAAAAUUUGUACAUAAAUGAGUUUAAAAUAAAUUUUUGGUACAACCAUUAGGAUUUGGUAAGAACUAAGAUUCAUUUUGGUACAUCCAAUGUUAAAAUGCUUGAACUAGCUGUCGUUGAUCGGAGUAAAGAUUGUUUGGAGGAGUUUAUUGCCGAAAGUGACGCGCAUAUAUCUAAGCUUGUAAGUUUUUUCCAUUGCUGGAAGUUCUUGAUUGCACAAAUACAAAAUUUCCUGAAGUCGGAAUUGAAUCUAUUGGCCGUUCAUGUCCAAAUCUGAAAGUUUUCGUUCGCAAUUAUCUUUUGAUUCAAUCGCAAUAUGAAUUCAAUAAUUCUCUAGCACUUGCCCUGGCGAAAACUAUGCGUGGUUUGCAUAAAUUGAAAAUUGGCGAAGAAGUAACGCUCGACGAUGAUGGUUUGCUUGCCAUUCUUGACGCUUGCUCUCAUCUUGAAUUAUUAAUUGUUCGUAAUUGCCUCCUCCUUAAAUUCGGAAAAAAACUGAAACAAAAUUAAAUUGAAAUAUUAUAGAAGUUCAUGAUUGAAUCAUUUGAUAGCUUUGAUCUCAUUUAAUUAGGUAUUAUUGAAAAUAUUACCUUCAUCCUUAUAUAACCCUAACCUUUCUUCACCAUACUAUCUUUGCAACUUGAAUCUGAUUCUACCUUGUCGUCCAAUUGAUGACGC
rnacentral:lncRNA from 1 species